rnacentral:rRNA from 1 species
GACGGAGGGUGCAAGCGUUGUUCGGAAUCAUUGGGCGUAAAGGGCGCGCAGGCGGCCUCCCAUGUCCGGUGUGAAAGCCCGGGGCUCAACUCCGGAAGCGCACUGGAAACUGGGUGGCUUGAGUCCGAGAGGGGACCGUGGAAUUUCUGGUGUAGGGGUGAAAUCCGUAGAGAUCAGAAGGAACACCGGAGGUGAAAACGACGGUCUGGAUCGGGGCUGACGCUGAGGCGCGAAAGCGCGGGUAGCGAACAGG